rnacentral:rRNA from 1 species
UACGUAGGGGGCAAGCGUUGUCCGGAAUCAUUGGGCGUAAAGCGCGUGUAGGCGGUUCGAUAAGUCUGCUGUGAAAGUCCAGGGCUCAACCCUGGGAUGCCGGUGGAUACUGUCGGGCUAGAGUACGGAAGAGGCGAGUGGAAUUCCCGGUGUAGCGGUGAAAUGCGCAGAUAUCGGGAGGAACACCAAUUGCGAAGGCAGCUCGCUGGGACGUUACUGACACUGAGGCGCGAAAGCGUGGGGAGCGAACAGG